rnacentral:rRNA from 1 species
UCGGGAAUUUUGGGCAAUGGGCGAAAGCCUGACCCAGCAACGCCGCGUGAGGGAUGAAGUAUUUCGGUAUGUAAACCUCGAAAGAAUGGGGAGAAUAAAUGACGGUACCAUUUAUAAGCUCCGGCUAACUACGUGCCAGCAGCCGCGGUAAUACGUAGGGAGCAAGCGUUGUUCGGAUUUACUGGGCGUAAAGGGCGCGUAGGCGGCGCGGUAAGUCACUUGUGAAAUCUCUGAGCUUAACUCAGAACGGCCAAAUGAUACUGCUGUGCUAGAGUGCGGAAGAGGCAACCGGAAUUCUUGGUGUAGCGGUGAAAUGCGUAGAUAUCAAGAGGAACACCUGAGGCGAAGGCGGGUUGCUGGGCCGACACUGACGCUGAUGCGCGAAAGCCAGGGGAGCAAACG